rnacentral:rRNA from 1 species
GGCCUACGGGAGGCAGCAGUAGGGAAUCUUCCGCAAUGGACGAAAGUCUGACGGAGCAACGCCGCGUGAGUGAAGAAGGUUUUCGGAUCGUAAAACUCUGUUGUCAGAGAAGAACAAGUUGGAGAGUAACUGCUCCAGCCUG